rnacentral:rRNA from 1 species
UGGGGAAUAUUGGACAAUGGGGGCAACCCUGAUCCAGCAAUUCUGUGUGCACGAUGAAGGUCUUCGGAUUGUAAAGUGCUUUCAGCAGGGAAGAAAAAAUGACGGUACCUGCAGAAGAAGCGACGGCUAAAUACGUGCCAGCAGCCGCGGUAAUACGUAUGUCGCGAGCGUUAUCCGGAAUUAUUGGGCAUAAAGGGCAUCUAGGCGGCCCUGUAAGUCUAGGGUGAAAACCUGCGGCUCAACCGCAGGCCUGCCCCGGAAACUACAGGGCUAGAGUGCUGGAGAGGUGGACGGAACUGCACGAGUAGAGGUGAAAUUCGUAGAUAUGUGCAGGAAUGCCGAUGAUGAAGAUAGUUCACUGGACGGCAACUGACGCCGAAGUGCGAAAGCUAGGGGAGCAAACAGGAUUAGAUACCCUGGUAGUCCUAGCUGUAAACGAUGAUUACUGGGUGUGGGCAUGAAGAGUGUCCGUGCCGAAGCUAAUGCGAUAAGUAAUCCGCCUGGGGAGUACGGCCGCAAGGCUG